CAGGAGUGUGCUGGCCUCUAGGGGCAUGUGCACGCUUCACUAGUCUUUCAACCACCUGUGAACUUUUGAUAGAUCUGUGAAGUCGUCCUUCAAGUCGUCAGACUUGGUUUGCUGGGAUUUAAACGUCUCGGUGUGACAACGCAGUCUAUUUACUUAACACACCCCAAAUGUAUGUCUACGAAUGUCAUUUAAUGGGCCUUGUGCCUAUAAACCAUAAUACAACUUUCAACAACGGAUCUCUUGGCUCUCGCAUCGAUGAAGAACGCAGCGAAAUGCGAUAAGUAAUGUGAAUUGCAGAAUUCAGUGAAUCAUCGAAUCUUUGAACGCACCUUGCGCCCCUUGGUAUUCCGAGGGGCAUGCCUGUUUGAGUGUCAUUAAAUUCUCAAACUCACAUUUAUUUGUGAUGUUUGGAUUGUUGGGGGUUGCUGGCUGUAACAAGUCGGCUCCUCUUAAAUGCAUUAGCAGGACUUCUCAUUGCCUCUGCGCAUGAUGUGAUAAUUAUCACUCAUCAAUAGCACGCAUGAAUAGAGUCCAGCUCUCUAAUCGUCCGCAAGGACAAUUUGACAAUUUGACCUCAAAUCAGGUAGGACUACCCGCUGAACUU
rnacentral:rRNA from 1 species